rnacentral:rRNA from 1 species
UACGUAGGGUGCGAGCGUUAAUCGGAAUUACUGGGCGUAAAGCGUGCGCAGGCGGCGCGUUAAGUCAGGUGUGAAAGCCCCGAGCUUAACUUGGGAAUUGCGCUUGUGACUGGCGUGCUGGAGUGUGGCAGAGGGAGGUGGAAUUCCACGUGUAGCAGUGAAAUGCGUAGAGAUGUGGAGGAACACCGAUGGCGAAGGCAGCCUCCUGGGCCAGCACUGACGCUCAUGCACGAAAGCGUGGGGAGCAAACAGG